UACACACACACAUACACACAUAUAUAUAUAUAUCUUUUUCUUUCUCUCGGUUGCAUUCCUUGAGAACCGAGUACGGUGACUUCGAAAAGAAACGACGAUGCGGCUGGCUCGACGCGUUCGCUUUUUCGAUGAAUAAAGAGUGCCGUAGUACGAUUUUAUUGAAUCUACUAGAAAAGAUACGUCAUUGCGGAAUGAUCGGCUCUCUUAAAAUUUCCUUCCAGGUCGGUGACUUUUUUAUUGGAUUACGUAGCUCGAUAUAGCGGCUGUAAGUUAUGCUCAAUAUUAGCAUAUUUCAAGCUGUAUAAUUUAUGCAUCCAUUACAUCACCAGGGAGAAAGGGGAGAAAGUUAAAGGGGUGGACUUCGUACAUUACCUUGGAUUCGAAAAGGGGACGAAGUAGAACGACGAUGAUGACGACGACGACGACGACGACGACGACGACGACGACGACGACUACGACGACAACGAAGAGGAGGCUCACCACCGAAACGAGGAAGUCUCGUUUAUUGAUUUUAUCUCCUAACAAAAUACGUACGUUCGCAUGAUUAACUGCCUUAAAUUCGGACGCAUCAAUUACGUCGCCUCGAAAUAUUCCAGAUACCUAUAUAGUCUCGUUGGCUACGAUACGAACAUGCACGCGAGAACAGGUUUAAUGCUUGCUACGCUUCAUGAAUAAUUAUUAAAAGAUUUAAAUUAUUCUUUCCGAUAAACAUCGAACCAUUAGGAAAAGUUGUAAAUAAACGAGAUCUUCGCGCCGUUGUACAUAUAUAUACUUACUACGCGUUCUCAUAAUAUCGGCAAGCACCUUUAAACGUGCGCGUACGAUUACAUAGCUAAAUAUUUACAUAUACGUGUGUGUAUAUAUAUAUAUAUAUUAUAUCCGUAGGUAUACAAAAUAAUUAAGGUCGUACUUCAAAGUCGCGAAACGAAAAUAGGCUUGGCUUUCGUCCGGUAUUCCUACGUGGAUUCAGAUUCGAUUAUCAUUACGAACUCAGCUGUAGACUUGGCCACCGUCUGUGCGUUUCUGCGUUUCGCAUUAUUAUCUCAAUGAUAAUACUAAUUAAGGCGCCUCCGGCCAAUCGUAAUAACACUUUCCACGUAAUAUGUGCACCUAAUCCGAAGUAGCGGCAUAUGGUCGAACAUGCCGGGCUCUUACGAAGAGCCCGUAACGUUCUCUACUCCGUUACGCUUCUUACUCCUCUUGAACUUAAAUUUUCCCAUUAAAAUGUUAUACCGUUCCCCAUUUACAGGUCGUACCGUGGAUACUUCGGGAGGUAAUAUUAUCGAUCAGUCAACUCCAAGAGGAUACGACGACGAAGAACGAACGAGAUGAUGAAGAAUUCCGAUUUAUGAUUUUCCUCUCUCGGAACUUCCGCAUGGUGAGAUCUGGAAAUCGGUAUUGCCUACGACGUUUAUACAUUUUCCAUGAUACAACGUAGCCACUGUCUGAGCUAAUGGCCGACAUUCGAUACAUUAGAAAAUUUUGGUACAAGCCGACGGAGAACGGAACCAACUAACAAUGCCUGGUCAUACAUCGAAAUCGCGAAGGACACGGUUCUCCUGCAUACAAACGAAAGAGGAGGACAUUCGGGUUUUCUUAAUCAGAGUGUAGGUGUGGGCCGAGCGUUCCUCUUCGGGGUCGAUGCUCAAGGAUUGUGCAUGUAACGGGGAUCGGAGCGAGUCGUGAGCAGCCUAGAGCCAACACGGCGUUGGAAUUUCUCGACAAAUAGCGAGGGGAAGGAAAGUUGACUCGUACGAAUUACUCGACAAGCACGGAAGGCGAUAAUUUCGAGGGGCGAAACUCCUUUUAUGGUGCAUCACCGAGGUCUCCAUUUGCGUCUACCUCUUCGAAAGAUCUCGACGAUAAUACACGGAUCUCCGACUUCCAUUAUGGCGGAUAGAAGAACGGAAACGGCGGGAUAACGACCGCGACGGUGAUACGCGACGGAGGUAGUACGCGUCUGGGAGCAAGCAGAGGGCCGGAGGGCUGAUAGGGGCAGCUCGAGAGACAGCUGACAAGAUCGUUCGUCCUCUCACCGGUUUAACGAGGAGUCACCUCUCCUUCAGGAUCCCAAAGUGCUAAGUGGUCGGCGCUUUACGAAAAGAUCCAAAGUGAGUCGCCGAUUAUUUGGACUCGGCGCGUAAUGACGCGAGAAGAAGGUCGAAUAAUUAAUCUCGAGAGAAGGGAAAGAAGAAGAAGUAAGGGCCAGCUUCCUCGAACAGGGAACGAAGGAUAAGGUCGAAGGAAAAUGAGCAGAGCGUCGCCAACUCGAUAUCGAAGAGAGAAAAAAAUGGAAGGAUCCAGUGUGGAACGGGGACUGGAUACGAUCGCUCUUGCUAGAGAUUUAUUCAAGAAACUACUCCAUGCACUUCUUUCAAGUGCGUAUUGGAUAAGGGCGUAGUAGAGGAAGGCGAUAUGAGCGCAGGAUUGGGAAAAGAUCGACAUCCAUCACUCUGUUAGCCGAGAUAAGAGCCCAGCUUCUGUUCAGGAUGAGCCUGUCGAACGUACCCAAGCCUCCACUUAAGAAAAUACAAUUGGAUGGUUGAAAUAAAUUUUCAUGCACUUCUCUACGAGUUUUUUCACUUGACCCUUCUCUUUUUCUCACUACCCACCUUCGCCUCGUUGGUUACUCGCGGUAUUUGUUUUCUGUGGUGUAGACCGACGUACAUGGUCUUAUAAAUCAGAAGCAGCGAACAACCAGUAUCGUUCCGAUAAAACCAAAACGAAUACUUCUUGCGAUUGCAACUACCACCAUCUAUAUCUAAACAC